UACGUAGGGGGCAAGCGUUGUCCGGAAUUAUUGGGCGUAAAGAGCGCGUAGGCGGUCCGGUAAGUCGGUUGUGAAAGUCGGGGGCUCAACCCUCGGAUGCCGAUCGAUACUGUCGGGCUAGAGUCCGGAAGAGGCGAGUGGAAUUCCUGGUGUAGCGGUGAAAUGCGCAGAUAUCAGGAGGAACACCAAUGGCGAAGGCAGCUCGCUGGGACGGUACUGACGCUGAGGUGCGAAAGCGUGGGGAGCAAACAGG
rnacentral:rRNA from 1 species